UUAGUUAAAACCAAAUAAGAGGUGCGUCACUGUUAAUUACGUCAAUGGUUUAAACCUAACUAAU
rnacentral:tRNA from 1 species